rnacentral:tRNA from 1 species
CAGAAGGUAGUUUAUACAAAAUAUUAAUUUUGGAGAUUAAUGAAGCAGGUUUCUGUCCUUUUGA